UCCGUAGGUGAACCUGCGGAAGGAUCAUUCACAAGAUUAUAUUUUAUAUUACUUUGUGGAACAUUUGGUUGAAUUUACAUGUUUUAUUACAAAAAAUUAAUUAUAAUUAAAAAAAUAAUUUUAAGAAAACCUCCAACAACGGAUCUCUUGGUUCCCAGAUCGAUGAAGAGCGCAGCGAAUUGCGAAAUGUGAUGUGUAUUGCAGUGAAUCAUCAAUUCUUGAACGCACAUGGCACCCCUUUUAGGGGUAUGCUUGUAUGAGGGUGUUUAAUAUGAAAUUGCUUUGGCUUUUUUUAAAUAAAUGGUUUUUCAAAUUGUUACUAAUAGACGAAAGAAUCAGUGCAACAAGCUGUGUUGAAUCUUUCAUUAAAUCUUUUAGUUAACUACUUUAACUAUUUGCACCUCAUAUCAAGCAAGACUACCCGCUGAACUUAAGCAUAUCAAUAAGCGGAGGAAAAGA
rnacentral:sRNA from 1 species